rnacentral:rRNA from 12 species
GUGCUGGAAGGUUAAGAGGAGAGCUUAGCGCAAGCGAAGGUUUGAAUUGAAGCCCCAGUAAACGGCGGCCGUAACAAUAACGGUCCUAAGGUAGCGAAAUUCCUUGUCGGGUAAGUUCCGACCCGCACGAAAGGCGUAACGAUCUGGGCACUGUCUCAACGAGAGACUCGGUGAAAUUUUAGUACCUGUGAAGAUGCAGGUUACCCGCGACAGGACGGAAAGACCCCAUGGAGCUUUACUGUAGCUUGGUAUUGGGUUUUGGCAUUGCAUGUAUAGGAUAGUUGGGAAACUAUGAAGGUGUGGCGCUAGCUGCACUGGAGUUGUCGGUGGAAUACCAACCAUUCAAUGUUGAAAUUCUAAUCUGUGGUUUGGAGCCACGGAGACAGUGCUAGGUGGGCAGUUUGACUGGGGCGGUCGCCUCCGAAAGAGUAACGGAGGCGUUCAAAGGUUCUCUCAGGUUGGAUGGAAAUCAACCGCAGAGUGCAAUGGCAUAAGAGAGCUUGACUGCGAGACUGACGGGUCGAGCAGGUGCGAAAGCAGGACAUAGUGAUCCGGCGAUUCCGAAUGGAAGGAUCGUCGCUCAACGGAUAAAAGCUACCCUGGGGAUAACAGGCUGAUCCUACCCGAGAGUCCAUAUCGACGGUAGGGUUUGGCACCUCGAUGUCGGCUCAUCGCAUCCUGGGGCUGUAGUCGGUCCCAAGGGUUGGGCUGUUCGCCCAUUAAAGCGGUACGUGAGCUGGGUUCAGAACGUCGUGAGACAGUUCGGUCCCUAUCCACUGUAGGCGUUAGAAUAUUGAGAAGAUCUGUCCUUAGUACGAGAGGACCGGGAUGGACAAACCUCUGAUGUACCAGUUGUCACGCCAGUGGCACAGCUGGGUAGUCACGUUUGGAACAGAUAACCGCUGAAAGCAUCUAAGCGGGAAGCCGGCCCAAAGAUGAGUCAUCCCUGACUUUUAAAGUCCGGAAGGGUUGUUAUAGACGAUGACGUUGAUAGGCAGGAUGUGGAAGCGUUGUAAGGCGUUAAGCUAACCUGUACUAAUUGCCCGA